UGUCCCAGGAUAGCUCAGAGAAGUGCUGCUUUCCAAGGGUUUGGCCAGGGCGACUUGAUUUAUUUUCAGCAAAAUCUGGGAUUGGAAUUGAGUGUGGCUUGACGCAACUGCAAAACAGAACAAAUCUGGAAACUCUGGCAGGCAGAAGAGGAGAGUGGAGGGAGCACGUUUCUUUGAGUUUGGGAAGGGAGGCUGAGAGGAGUCUGGGAAACUUCCUGGCACCCAACUCCCUCCAGAACCCCUGAAGGGACUUUCUACAACAGCAGAGGGAUGGCCCUUCUGUCUCUACAGCACUGACCGAGCACUACAGUAUCGAACAGCACUGGGCACAGACUAGGUCCUGGGUAAAUAUUUGGUGUGUUGAUUAAUAAUAUGAGAAUGUUCUGAGGUCAAACACUUCCUUCCAUGUUUUGGGAACAGUGAGGUCUUGCAUAGAGCUUUAAAAACUCCACACCCAGCUUCACAUUAAAGUGGAAAGCCAGCACACUUGUGAUGUUCUGAGCUAUUCUAAAUAGCAGCCCUCCCUGGGUCUCUGAAUUCUUCUGAACCUAGUAGUGCCACUGCCUUGGGCAGUUUUGUGGAAAUGCCUCUUCCCAUUCAGCUUUGCCCAGACCAUUCUAUCCUGAUGUUAUUCCCAUGGCUGGCACUCCAAUGUGUCCUAAACCUGUCCGGUUUCUAGAAAUAUGACAAACAUUACCUCUAUUUAUCCCUUUCUUCUGUUCUUACUGACACUGAGCUUGCAGGAUGGCAGUAUUAAAAUACACCAGCAGACUUCUGGCAGGUGGUUGUAAACAUCUUUUGGAGUUCCUUCCCAGUCUAUGACACCAUUUCUCAAGGAAUCAUCCCCCUCUCCACAAAAGGGAAGGCCAAGUAACCGAGCAUCCACCAUGACUCUUCCACUUUGGCCAUAGAUUGCAUCAGAGUUCUCACUGACCCAAGCUGGACAAUCAAUAUCUUUCUCUUGGGAAUUUGGAAUUGGACUUAAAGAAAUGGAUAACUAGAGAUCAGCGUCUGUGUUUGGCUCAGACAUGAAUUUUGGAGCCAUGGUGGCCAUACGCAGGGAGAAUCAGAACAAGUCAGUGUGUAGAGAAAACCAAAAGGCAAUGCCAAAGAAUGAACCGAGUCAAAAGAGGCAGGGCUACAUCUGCUAUUGACUUCUGAGGAUGACUUUGCAUCUUUACAGCCAAAGGUUGAGUGAGUAACUUCCCAGGAAAUCCACAAGCCUCAGCUCUGGACUCUUCAUCCUCACGCCACUCACUCAGCUACUCUCUGUUUGCAGUAAAAGAACAGAAUGGAGCAAGAGUUUUUUAAAAUUAGAUUAUAAAAGACCAAGCUCUGCUGAAAUAUUGGAGAGGUGGGGAUCUGAAGGGAGGGGUGAUGUGUCAAAGACUUUCAAGGCUGUAUGACCUGAUGGAAGAUGAAACACAGGAGAAAUGAGAGCAGGGAUAUUGACCAAGGGCCCUCUGAUCUGCCGUUGUAUUUAAAGCAAUGAUUCUCCCUCCUUCCCUGGGACCCCUGGGGGUAGAUCAUCUGAAUGCUUGUCUCUUAGGGAAAUGGUAUGGGGUGGAAAGCGGCGAACGCAGCAAGGGUUCAGGAAAUGCCUGGCUUGUGAGUGGAGGAGAGGAUUCUAGCAACUCUUCAUGCUUCCAAGUGAUGUCAUUGGGAAACCAAUCCUGGAGAAAGGGGGCCGUCGCUGAUAAAAAUCACUGUGGAGAAGAUGGCCUAGAAGAUCCCGAAUCUUAGUCCUCAUGCGCCCCCUCGUGUAGGAUGUGGGGUAGUGCCUUGGUUGCUGGGUGGUGAAAAAUCUGUCAUUCUCAAGGGACCACCGUUGGAGAAAAAGGGACGUUGAGGGGGAAAUGCAUGAGAAAUAGAAUAAAGUUAAGUAAUGAGUUAAUUUUGCAGUUGUGACAAUUGUAGGCUACAAAUUAAUAGUUGAUUUAAAAAAGCAAGUAGCUUUGAAAGCCCAGGACUAAAAUGCGAAGAAACUGAGCAGAAUCGCCACUGUGUAGACCAGAGCUUCUCAAACUUCAAUGUGCAUAUGAAUAAUCAUCCUGGGAGCUUGUUAAAAAUCUAGAUUUUUUAUUUACUAGUUCUGGACGGGGCCCUCGAUUCUGUACCUUUAACAAGCUCCCAAGUGGUGUAGAGGAUGCUGGUCCGUGGACCACACUUUGAUAACACUUGCAAUAGUGUGCAGGACUGACCUGUCCCCUCAGAUAAGCCUGUUUGUAUUGGAGGGUUCUGAAGUUCAGCUAGAACUUCUAUCUCCACCAGAUCUCCCAGGAUCCCUGCUAGCACACUAUACAGUAAUUCCUUCAUUUAUUGGUAGUGCGGUAAAUUUGUCAGCUCAAAGAUAAUUACCUUUUAUUUCCUGAACUUAAGUAGCAUUUACCAAUAGCACUUACUGUUUGUAAUGUUGAAUUGUUAAUUGCUAUAUAUUACCUUGUGAUUUCAAGAGUUUAUUUUGUUUUUGCAAUGAAGUGGUCCUGCAUAGUUUAGGGUGUUUAAGAGACAAUUACAGAAUUAGUUGAUUGGCUUCUACUAUAAGCUUUGAUUUGAAAAAAUUACAAAUCUUUCUCCUAAGUGUGAAUUUUGAAUUUGAGGUGGCAGAGGGAGGAAGGGUUAGGUGUCUGAAGAAAGUGAAGAGAGGAUGUCUAGGGAUAAUUUGGACAUCUUGUAGCAUUCAAGAUAAAUAUAUUCAAAGUUUUACCUAAGGCUUUUCUUAGAGUUAGAUGUCUUGUUUUGAAUUCGACUUAGGUUCACACUUAAAGUUACUCUAUGUAAAAAUGUUCAGACAUCCUGAGCAGACAUAGAACAACAACAAAUGGAUUUGAUAACAGAAUACAAGAUAGAAUUAAAGAUAAAGUCCUUAUGUGCUUUGAAGAAAUAAAAGAUGAGAUUUCAAGUCAAGGAAAAUAGAUUGUACACCUAGUGACAAGACCUCUUUAUUUUCAUUUUGAAAGAUCACAGAGUGACUACAAUAUGAAAAGAUUGUGUGUAGGCUAUCAUUUCAUGCUUGAGAAACAAAUAGAUGAAGAUCAUUUCAUGUACCACUGGGCUGGGUGUUUAGAGACAAAUGUGUUUCUUACCUGCUAGUGUAGACCAGUGAGCAGCAGGAAAGGAUAUACAUUCCCAGCCAUGGGCAAUCCUUUAUCCGCAUGUGUGGCCAAGGAUUUUUCAUACUGUCUUACAUUGGCUGGGAAAGUUGACUUCUGAGUUCCCUGACAAAUCUGAGAUUCUAUGACUUUAUUAAUCAUAACUAUUAAUAACUACAGGUUAUAUGUUAAUAGUUAUAGUGGUUAUAAUUAUUAGUUAUAAUUAUUAUUUUGUGCAAUAGAUUCUCAGAAUCUGAAGCACCAUAGAGGUUAAAAGAGGUAAUAGCCAUCUUCCUGUCUAUAACAGUCUCCUUUUCAACAUCCUGGGAGUUAUCAACAGCAACUACAGGUUCUGCUCAAACACCUCCAACAAAAUAGAACUCCCUAGGUCCCACAACCAUUUUUGCUGUACAGUGUUUUCCUGUCAUAAGAAAAAUAAUUUGCAUUCACUGUAAUAAUUUUAGAAAACAAAACCAAAAUGUACAAAAUAAAAAUUAAAAAUAUCUGUAAUACUAUCACUCAGAGAUAAACACCAUGAACAUUCUGAUGUAUGUGCCCAGGUGUGCGUAUGUGUGUGUGUGUGUGUGCAUGUGCAUGCGUGCACAUGCGUGCAUGGGUAUGCACACCUUUAUUCUAAAAGAAUUGUACUACUCAUGUUUUAGAACCAUCUUUUAUCCUUUUUCAUUAAGUAUUUGUCCAUAAUAUCACCUUUAAAAGUUCAAUAAGCAUAUUUCGUUUUUAAAUAGCUAUAAUUAUUAGGAUUUUUCCUUUUAUCAAGCUAAACCUUACCUCUUUAUAAUCUAUAUGCCUUGCCCCUUUCUCUGUCCUCCAGAGCCAGAUGCAAUAAAAAGUCUGAUCCCUCUUUUGCAGGACAACCCUUUAAAUAUGUGAAGACUGCUUUCUGGUCUUCCCACCAGUCUCAUUUUUAAUUUUUUAACUCCCUUAUUGAAGUAAAUUGGCAUAUUUAAUGUACAGUUUGAUUAAUUUUAAUAUAGGCAUACACCUGUGAAACCAUCACUAAAAUCAAGGCAAGAAACAUAUUCACCUCCUAAAGUUUCCUUGUGCACCUUUGUGUACCUGUGUGUUUGUAUCAGGCAAGAAUAUAUAUUUAUUGUACAUACACACCAUGGACUAUUAUGCAGCCAUAGGAAGAAACAAGGUCAUGUUUUUUGCAGGGACAUGGAUGGAGCUGGAAUCCAUUAUCCUCAGCAAACUAACACAAGAACAGAAAACCAAACAAAUGCUGCAUGUUCUCACUUAUAUGUGGGAGCUGAACAAUGACAACGCAUGGGCACAGGGAGGGGAACAACACACACUGGGGCCUGUUGGUGGCAAGGGAGGUGAGGGAGAGCACCAGGAUAAAUAGCUAAUGCAUGCAGGGCUUCAUACGUAGGUGCUGGGUUGAUAGGUGAAGCAAACCACCAUGGCACAUGUUUACCU
rnacentral:lncRNA from 10 species